CCUACGGGAGGCAGCAGUAAGGAAUAUUGGUCAAUGGGCGGAAGCCUGAACCAGCCAUGCCGCGUGCAGGAAGACGGCCCUACGGGUUGUAAACUGCUUUUGCAGGGGAAUAAACCCCGGUACGUGUACCGGGCUGAAUGUACUCUGAGAAUAAGGAUCGGCUAACUCCGUGCCAGCAGCCGCGGUAAUACGGAGGAUCCAAGCGUUAUCCGGAUUUAUUGGGUUUAAAGGGUGCGUAGGCGGCCUAUUAAGUCAGGGGUGAAAGACGGUAGCUUAACUAUCGCAGUGCCUUUGAUACUGAUGGGCUUGAAUGGACUAGAGGUAGGCGGAAUGUGACAAGUAGCGGUGAAAUGCAUAGAUAUGUCACAGAACACCAAUUGCGAAGGCAGCUUACUAUGGUUUAAUUGACGCUGAGGCACGAAAGCGUGGGGAUCAAACAGGAUUAGAUACCCUGGUAGUCCACGCCCUAAACGAUGAACACUCGAUGUUAGCGAUAUACAGUUAGCGUCUAAGCGAAAGCGUUAAGUGUUCCACCUGGGGAGUACGCCCGCAAGGGGUGAAACGUCAAAGGAAUUGACGGCUGAGACGNGCGAGCGACGACGAGGGAGAGG
rnacentral:rRNA from 1 species